rnacentral:rRNA from 1 species
AUUGAACGCUGGCGGCAGGCCUAACACAUGCAAGUCGAGCGGAUGACGGGAGCUUGCUCCUUGAUUCAGCGGCGGACGGGUGAGUAAUGCCUAGGAAUCUGCCUGGUAAUGGGGGACAACGUUUCGAAAGGAACGCUAAUACCGCAUACGUCCUACGGGAGAAAGCAGGGGACCUUCGGGCCUUGCGCUAUCAGAUGAGCCUAGGUCGGAUUAGCUAGUUGGUGGGGUAAUGGCUCACCAAGGCGACGAUCCGUAACUGGUCUGAGAGGAUGAUCAGUCACACUGGAACUGAGACACGGUGCGGACUCCUACGGGAGGCAGCAGGGGGGAAUAUUGGACAAUGGGCGAAAGCCUGAUCCAGCCAUGCCGCGUGUGUGAAGAAGGUCUUCGGAUUGUAAAGCACUUUAAGUUGGGAGGAAGGGCAGUAAGUUAAUACCUUGCUGUUUUGACGUUACCGACAGAAUAAGCACCGGCUAACUUCGUGCCAGCCGCCGCAGUAACAC